rnacentral:tRNA from 1 species
GGCUUUAUAGUCAAUAAUGAUGUUAGACUGCAAUUCUAAAGGAGUAUAUUUUUAUACUAAAGCUU